GGCAGGAUGGCCGAGGGGUCAAAGGCGCUGCGUUCAGGUCGCAGUAUCUUGGGAUGCGUGGUUUCGAAUCCCACUCCUGACG